rnacentral:tRNA from 1 species
CGCGGGGUGGAGCAGCUCGGUAGCUCGUCGGGCUCAUAACCCGAAGGUCGUCGGUUCAAAUCCGGC